GAUACCAGGGUCAAAAGGUUAUGCGUUUCAUGCUUGCAUGAAAAAGCAUGACUUUGGGACCCGCAAAACAUGAGAAAGCAGCCCAAUCAGGGCGGAUUUCGAAUGUUUUUAGGAUUGCGGGAGCACAUCGUGCGGAGCAAUCCGUGGUAUC
rnacentral:sRNA from 1 species